GAUGAACGCUGGCGGCGUGCUUAACACAUGCAAGUCGAACGGGGGACAAUUUAAAGAAGCUUCGGCAGAUUUAGCUUGUUCCUAGUGGCGGACGGGUGAGUAACGCGUGGGUAACCUGCCUCACACUGGGGGAUAACAGUCAGAAAUGACUGCUAAUACCGCAUAAGCGCACAGAGCUGCAUGGCUCAGUGUGAAAAACUCCGGUGGUGUGAGAUGGACCCGCGUUGGAUUAGCCAGUUGGCAGGGUAACGGCCUACCAAAGCGACGAUCCAUAGCCGGCCUGAGAGGGUGGACGGCCACAUUGGGACUGAGACACGGCCCAGACUCCUACGGGAGGCAGCAGUGGGGAAUAUUGCACAAUGGGGGAAACCCUGAUGCAGCGACGCCGCGUGAAGGAAGAAGUAUCUCGGUAUGUAAACUUCUAUCAGCAGGGAAGAAAAUGA
rnacentral:rRNA from 1 species